AAUUAACAUUAAUUAACUCUGCGGAUCUUUCAAUUAUACAGCAAUGAUGUUUCGUAGUGUUUGUUUUAGAUCAGGCAGAUGUAUUCUGUUGCACUGAUGGCUCAUUUUGUCCAUUACAGAUCAGGGCCUACCUUUAUUGUAUGUAGUGCUGAUUUCCGCUACUGCUGGGUCACUUUUUAUUGUAGUUUCAGUCGUGAUGUGCUGCAUCUGCAAGAGACAUAGAAAAACAGCCCAAACCCAGGAGGAAGACAGAACUGAUUCAGCAUUGUGUAAACCAACAACUCAACAAACGAAAUCAAAGACUGAGGCUGUGUAUGAAAAUGUCCCCCAAAAGCGAUGAUCAUAUAUUGUAUACUGGAUUUUUGUCGAUGGAGCUCAUAACGGGCACACUUUUUCAUUCACAUUAAUUCUCUUCCAGGAUGUCACUGUUUUGUCACCGUUGUUUGGAUCAUAUCCAUUUGGUGUUACUGUGAUGUCUAAAAUGUAAUUCUAAUUAAGUUAGUGCUUUAUUAAUAUUUUAUCAUCCAGAAACUCAACUAAUGCUAGCUUACCACAUGAAAAUUUACCUAACGUUCAUUAUUAAAUAAAAAUCACACCCUUCUGUGCUCAUUUGCUUGUCAUUUAUAAUCUUGUUUUAUUCUUUUUACAAAAUAUAAUGAAACUAGUAUCACACAUCGGUGUGUUCAUGCUGGAUAUGUUGGCAAAUGUAAGCACAUCAUCGUCCCUCUAGCGGCCAAAGCAGAAAAUCACAUUCUUAAUUAUAGCGCCUGUACCCGAUAGGGUGCGCUAUAAAUACAUAUUGAAUGCACAUAAUAAAGACACAGGUCUGCUUGAUCAUAUUGUGCUGCCUCCUGGUGCCUCUGAACAAUAACUCAGCUAAACACAAUAACUGAGUUCAACAUAGACUACGAUGUCAAAAACGCCUUAAGACAGUGCAGCUAAAUUAAAAUAAAAGUGCAGCUAAACUAAAUAAAUA